GGGUAUGGGGGCAACUGGCUCCAAUAUCUAUCACCCCACUGAUCACCAGGGUUGACUCUACUGAUCUGGUUGGCUAGGCAAGUGUCCCCUCCUCCCUCACUCUAUGUGCAUCCCUCUCAAAGCUGUAGGUUCAGUCAAAGAGGACAACCUUCCCCAAUAGAGCAGGGCUGUUCUUCAGUCAAGGGUAUACAAGUAGCUGUGCUUCCCUACUAGAACCUCCAAACAAGUUUUCAAGGUCCAUUUGUAGGAGAAUGUUUAGCAGUCAAGCUUUCAAGACUCUAGACUACAUCCAAAUGAGACCCUGCAAAUGACAGUGUGCCUUUCUUU
ensembl:misc_RNA 7SK 7SK RNA